CUCCUCAGGCUCAGGAAAAGCUUACAGAGAACUCUGGAAAGGCAGCUGAGAGCCCUUCUGCCAAGAUUCCUGCCAAUAAUGUCUUCCUUUCAGAGUAAGUCCUUCCUGGAGCAAAAGAAAAUCAAAUUGGGAAGCUAUAAAAUGGCAAGAGAGAGGAGAUAUCCGGCCCAUACUAACUCCUGGGCAAUGAUGGGUUGCUGCACUUCAGCACUCCAAACCAAAGCCCCAAGGACACCAAACCACACCGUCACCUUGGGGCAAACACAGAAACCAUUCCUUCAACUGACACGAUCAACAGUUCACCCUCCAGCAUCACGUCAGCCAAUCAUAUGGCCACUGAAGUGUUAAAUGCUGAGGCACGUGGAGAAGGCCCCAUUUUUCCCUUCGGGCUUAGGAAUGCUGCAGAGAGAUUACCAAUUGUGACAUCACUCUGGGAACCACCUAUCUCACCACCACCCAUCACUCGCCAAAGGACAAUUUUGGACACGGGCCAGGUGCCACAUCUACAAGGAAGGCUCAGGCACAGACUGAAAGGAUCCCGACUGCCUGGGGGCCACAGAUCACCUCUGCUUCAGGCUGGAAUGUUCCUUCUCCACAGAGUCCAGGAACUGACAUAUGCAAACACCCACCCAGAAGGACAUGUCCAAGAAAGAAUGGAAAGAAAAAUGAUGGUCCAGAUGUUCUGUAACUUGCAGUGACUGCCAAAUCACCCAAGACCCCAAGCACCUGGGAGGGCCAGGCAGCAUCAGGCCCUUGCUUCCCGGUUUUAGACAGCCAGGGUUCUGUGGCUGGGUGGCGACUCUGACAGCAAGCAGACUGGCCUGGAGAGAAGCCCUCAGAAGGGCACCAGCUGACGGGACUUGGGGGCUGAACACUCAGAGCUGAUUUAUC